UAUAAUAUUAAUUUAAGGCCCAAUGCUAAAUUGAAUCCCAACAACAAAGUUUAUAUUAUACAUCAGAAAAUAUCCUGAAAGCAAAGUACAAAAGAAUGACCCAUUCCCAUUUGUUUUCUUCCGUGUGUAUACAACUGAUAAGAUAGAACUUUAAGAUGUUACGGAUGAGGCUAUAAACAUAGACUAUUUUUUAGAGAUCUAAACAUGCAAUAUAGCCUACUUGUGAGCUACUAAUUAAGCCCGACUCAUCAAAAGUUCGAGCCAAGCCUAAACAGGUUCGAAAGGCUUGAGCCGAAAUCAUAACAAACUUGAAGUUCCAUUUAGUAAACCAGCUCGAGCAUAGACAUGUUUGUGUAUAUGCCUUUCUUUUGUUUAGGCAACUUAACCCAAAAAACCACAUAGCUGAGAAAGAUGACUAUGAUUUCAUACUUUCUGAUUAUCAGAGAUCUGGCGAGGCCUGCAGAAUCAGCAGAAGAUUAUGAUGAACUGUAAUUUAUUGGUGAAGAGAUGACAAGACCAGGUUAUUAUAAGUUUCAACGGCAGCAUUGAUCUUGAGAAGAAACAUUUUCCAGUAUUUCUCUCAGCCAAUCAUGGUUAUAGAUAAUUAGAUGUAGUUGAUGUUUGUUAAUGCCGAGUUAAAAAUAUUAAACGAUUAGGAUUUAAAAGGGUUUAUAAGCUUUGUAUAGAGUUGGUGUCCAAGGAAAAGUACUAAUUGAUUACUCUCUUGCACUGACAAAAUGGGUGGGUCAAGUGAGUUGGGUAACAAGUCAAAAUUAGUUGGGUGAACCGAAAUUGAGGUUCAAACUAGGUCAGCUUGAAAUGGAUACUCAAUAGCAAUCAGUACUCAUUUCUUUAUACACUCUUUGGUCCUCAUGUGCCAUUUUCGUUGUUGAAUACAUCUUUUUCAUAGCUGCUAAUAGAAAUUUGUUUCUCAA